UACGGGGGGGGCAAGCGUUGUUCGGAAUUACUGGGCGUAAAGGGCUCGUAGGCGGCCAACUAAGUCAUACGUGAAAUCCCUCGGCUUAACCGGGGAACUGCGUCUGAUACUGGAUGGCUUGAGUUCGGGAGAGGGAUGCGGAAUUCCAGGUGUAGCGGUGAAAUGCGUAGAUAUCUGGAGGAACACCGGUGGCGAAGGCGGCAUCCUGGACCGAAACUGACGCUGAGGAGCGAAAGCCAGGGGAGCAAACGGG
rnacentral:rRNA from 1 species